rnacentral:rRNA from 1 species
AACGAACGCUGGCGGCGUGGAUUAGGCAUGCAAGUCGAACGAUCCCGAGCAAUCGGGAUAGUGGCAAAAGGGUGAUUAACGCGUGGGUAACCUACCUUCGAAUCUGGGAUAACUUCGCGAAAGCGAGGCUAAUACCGGAUAAGACCACGUUCCCUAGGGAAUGUGGUAAAAGAUGGCCUCUAUUUAUAAGCUGUCAUUUGAAGAGGGGCCUGCGUCCUAUCAGCUUGUUGGUGAGGUAACGGCUCACCAAGGCAUUUGACGGGUAGCUGGUCUGAGAGGAUGGUCAGCCACACUGGGACUGAGACACUGCCCAGACUCCUACGGGAGGCUGCAGUCGAGAAUCUUUAGCAAUGGGCGAAAGCCUGACUAUGCGACGCCGCGUGAGCGAUGAAGUCCUUCGGGAUGUAAAGCUCUGUCAGGUGGGAUGAAUACUCCGCUUUAAAUAGGAGCGGAGCUUGACGGUACCACCAGAGAAGCCACGCUAACU